UACGUAGGGGGCAAGCGUUGUCCGGAAUCAUUGGGCGUAAAGAGCGUGUAGGCGGCCCGGUAAGUCCGCUGUGAAAGUCGGGGGGCUCAACCCUCGGAUGCCGGUGGAUACUGUCGGGCUUGAGUACGGAAGAGGCGAGUGGAAUCCUGGUGUAGCGGUGAAAUGCGCAGAUAUCAGGAGGAACACCAAUUGCGAAGGCAGCUCGCUGGGGACGUUACUGACGCUGAGACGCGAAAGCGUGGGGGAGCAAAACAGG
rnacentral:rRNA from 1 species